UUGACCUCGGAUCAGGCAGGGAUACCCGCUGAACUUAAGCAUAUCAA
rnacentral:rRNA from 1 species